GACGAACGCUGGCGGCGUGCUUAACACAUGCAAGUCGAACGGUGAAGGGGUCUGCUUUUGUGGGCCCUGGAUGAGUGGCGAACGGGUGAGUAACACGUGAGUAACCUGCCCCCUUCUUCUGGAUAACCGCAUGAAAGUGUGGCUAAUACGGGAUAUUCUGGGUCUGUCGCAUGAUGGGUCUGGGAAAGAUUGCGCCUUUGGGUGUUUUUGGUGGGGGAUGGGCUCGCGGCCUAUCAGCUUGUUGGUGGGGUGAUGGCCUACCAAGGCGGUGACGGGUAGCCGGCCUGAGAGGGUGGACGGUCACACUUGGACUGAGACACGGCCCAGACUCCUACGGGAGGCAGCAGUGGGGAAUAUUGCACGAUGGGCGCAAGCGUGAUGCAGCGACGCAGCGUGAGGGAUGGAGGCCUUCGGGUUGUAAACCUCUUUCGCAAGUGAAGCAGGCCUGCUCCUUGUGGGUGGGUUGACGGUAGCUGGAGAAGAAGCGCCGGCUAACUACGUG
rnacentral:rRNA from 1 species